AAAGUUCUCCUAUUUCAAUAGUUUGGGAAAAAUGUUGGUUUCAGCACGCUACUUAUAAGUUUUGAUGAAACUUAGAGCAAUUGUGGUGUUAUUGGGAGUUUUUGGUAAAGUAUGUGGUUCGGUGGUGCCUAGCAUGUGUGUCCCUAUGUUUCAUCCCUAGUGUAGAUGGACAUGUAUGCAUAUGAAAGUGAAAGGGGUUUGAAGUUACCUUGUGUGAAGAAAGAACAGAGAUAUGGUGGGACCUUGGUCUUUGUGGAGCCUUGAUCUUGUGGAACUGCUACAUUUUGUUUCUAGUGUGAAUGGGUGUAUAUGCAUAAGGAAAAAGAAUGAAAGAGGCUUGAGGUUACCUUGUGUGAGAAAGAAUAGUGGGAUUGUGGGACCUUUGGUCUUGUGAAACUGCACUUCUUUGGAUUUUUACUUCGGAUGUGUGUGGUGAAAAUUUGUUGAAAGUGAUGGACUGAAAGUGAGAGGUCAAGGCAUGUAUAUAUAUGCCUUGAUUUGGCAAGUGGUCUGUGGCAAAUUAAAUGCUCCAUGUCUAACUCAAUCUAUGAUGAUCUUACAAAAAUAUAUUUUGGAUACUCCUUGUAGUAAUAUUUGAGAGAAGUUUUGUUGGCAUUCAAUAUCAUUCUGAUAUCCCCUGAGCAUUUACUGAGGAAAUGAUUUCCUUCAUUUAAUGUUUGCAAUACUUAAUUCUUUUUGUUGGUCUUCCUCUCUAAAUCCUACGGCUAAUACAGAGGUGAAAUACUGUGCAUGUUUCUCUUUUCCUCAUCAUAUUUACUGACUUGCUUGGAGUAAAUCCUUAUCAAGGAUUCGGACAUGACAUGGAAUUUAAAUAUGGCAAACUUAUAGCGUGACCAUUUGUGGCUCUGGUCAACGAACCAAGCCAACUUGGUUUUGAAGCAUGGCGUUCAACGGCUGUCCGAGACUUACCCGUUUUUCUUCCUCCAGCUUGUAAUAAAUUAUAUUUAGAUAAUUCGUAACGUUAGACUUCAUCAACUUUCCGCGUGGGUACCGUACAUUACAACUUUUAUUUGGAUUAAUAUAUGUAUAUGUAUUUAUUAUUCUCACA